ACGAACGCUGGCGGCGUGGCUAAGACAUGCAAGUCGAACGGGCCUGUUAAUUUAUUAGCAGGUUAGUGGCGAAAGGGUGAGUAAUGGAUAGGUAACGUGCCCCGAGCUCUGGGAUAGCCAUCCGAAAGGGUGGGUAAUACCGGAUGAUAUCACCGACUGACGGGUUGGUGAUCAAAGAUUCAUCGGCGCGGGAGCGGCCUAUCUCCUAUCAGCUAGUUGGUGAGGUAACGGCCCACCAAGGCGAUGACGGGUAGCGGGACUGAGAGGUUGGCCCGCCACAUCGGAACUGAGAUACUGUCCGGACCCCCACGGGGGGCUGCAGUAACGAAUAUUGGGCAAUGGGCGAAAGCCUGACCCAGCGACGCCGCGUGCGGGAGGAAGUCCUUCGGGAUGUAAACCGCUGUCAGGGGUAUGAAAGUCCAUUUCGGUGGAUUGAUCUAACCCAAAGGAGGUCACGGCUAACUCUGU
rnacentral:rRNA from 1 species